rnacentral:misc_RNA from 1 species
AAUAGAACGGGGUGCUGUAAGCAGUAGAGUAGCCUUGUUGCUACGAUCUGCUGAGGCUUAGCCUUUGUUCUACAGAUUUGUGCUUUUGCACUCUACUAAGUUGGAUAGGUCAGGGGGGUUAUUGAUAGUGCGCACAGGGGGCGAAAAAACGGACAAGUCCUGCAUUAUGAUGCGGGAUAAGGAAGUGUGUGUCGGGAGUCUAUAGUGCGGUAGGUAGAAUGGUAAGUAGUAAAGUAGUUGAGUAGCUUCGUGUAGUAACUUUUGGUAGUAGAGUAGUUCAAUAGCCAAAGUCGUGUAGUGACUUUUGGUAGUCGAGUAGUUCAUAGGUAAAGUCGUGCAGUAGUAACAUGCUGCCUAGACUAGUAAUAUACGGCAUGAUGAAUGCAUGAAUAACGGCAGAGGUGGAGGUUUUAAGGGGCGAGCGAACAUGCGUGCCCAGUCAUUGGUGCCCUUUUAUAAGGCCUUUGACAUUGUAGCCCUUUAGUACUGAAGCACGGUAUUGGCCCAAGUCCCUGAGUCAGUGAAGUCAGUUGGCGCAUCCUGGGGGUCCUAUACUAACAUGUCCUGGGGGUCCUAAUAGAUGCCAUGUUGAGUCCACGCGACUGGGCCAUGCAUAGCACACGCGAUGGUAUGGGAGGUACUCUUGGGGGUGCUCCUAGGGGUGCUCCGGGGGGUACUCCUGCAAGAACGGAAGCAUAGUAGAGGCCAGGUGGUGGGUCCCGAGGGGGUCUGGGCUUGGCCGGGUGGUAAGUAAGGCAGUUGUCAGGAGGUGUAUAAAGGGGCCCUAAAAACCUAUAAAGUAUCUUCGGCCAUAGGAUCCAGAAAAUACCGCAUCCCGU